rnacentral:rRNA from 1 species
GACCAGCAUCCGCGUGAAGGAUGAAGGUCUUAUGGAUUGUAAACUUCUUUUGCAGGGGAAUAAAGUGGUGGACGUGUCCUCCGGUGCAUGUACCGUGCGAAUAAGGAUCGGCUAACUCCGUGCCAGCAGCCGCGGUAAUACGGAGGAUCCGAGCGUUAUCCGGAUUUAUUGGGUUUAAAGGGUGCGCAGGCGGGAUGUUAAGUCGGCGGUGAAAUUUUGCAGCUCAACUGUAAAAGUGCCUUCGAUACUGUACUUCUUG